rnacentral:tRNA from 1 species
GGUCUUAUAGUCAAUAAUGACGCCAGACUGCAAUUCUGGAGGUGUAUAAACUACUAAGGCUU